UUAACAUAGGUGAACCUGCGGUAGGAUCAUU
rnacentral:rRNA from 1 species